ACUGUCUGCUUCAAGAGACAGGGGAAUCCUUGGAUGCCGACGCUACCUAAUUUCGAGGGUACAGUCUGACACUGCUGUAGCCACAGCUAAAACUUUGGCCGCGGGCCAGUGACUAUCAUAAUUCAUCCUUUUUAAAAUGUCAUUUUAAAUUUUAUUUAAUCCAGACGAUCCAUGAGAACGCAGUCCCGCGAAAAGCAGGACUAGUAAUCACUCCUUUUUGGGGUGUAGAGUUUUUUUUUUCUUUUCUGCUGAACAGAUUGUUCCUUUUCCUGCACAGAAUUUUUCUUAAGAAGCAAGUAUGCUGCGCUCUCUCCUACUGGGUUGGAAUACCCAGACACUGCAGUCCCGGAAGUGCCUCUGAGGACAAUUAUGCCACCAGCUUCAGCAUCAAACUGAAACCAGCAAUGGAGGCUUCUGUGGAGAGUGAUGGCUGCCGGUCUCCGUUGCUGGUCAGGCCUGAUGACAUCGAAUCAACAUUCCUGUCUCGAGACACGGGUUAGACAUGUCUGCACCCAAAUCAAACAAAUGGAAAAAAAAAUCAUCCCCCCGGCAUGUAUUUGUUAAAUCAUGUGUCUUCCAUUUUGAUUUUAGCAUAUUGGUAAUCAUGACAUUGGGGAACUUUUUCCCCUUUUAAUGCAUUUGUAAUAAAUAACGUGUAGACAUAUUAGGGACUCCAAGAGUUGUUGAUGCAUAAUAUUUUUUUUUUUUGGUGUGGUGUGAAUCAACAUUCCUGUCUCUUGAUCCAAGAUAGACAUGUCCGUAAACAAAACUUGCAAAUGGAAAAAAAUGUAUCCUGCUGCAUGUGUGUGAUUCCUAAUCUUCCACCCGGAUUGCAUUGAACUUGUGGGUGUCGGCGAGGUCGUGGCAUCGCAGACCCGCUUGUCAAUUUCUUCCGCAUUUGCAAUGGAAAACGUGUAAUUAUAUCAGGAAUACUAAUACCCGGUGAUGUACAUUCAUACAAUUUGGGGAAACUGUCAAAAUGACACAGAACAACUCAAAGACAGUCCUGACAGACUUGAACUACCAUACCGCUUGUCUGUUUACAGAAAUCCACAGGUGGCUCUAGUGGGCCCAAGGGAACCUCUUGCAGUGCAGUAUCUUCCACAUGUCCCGUGUCCACACUCAAACAGCUGGACCCAUUUUCCUUCAUUUGCAUACAUCUUCACAGUACUUUACUGAAGCUCAGAGUCCCCCACCUCUCAUUAAGUUA